rnacentral:rRNA from 1 species
CCUACGGGUGGCAGCAGUAGGGAAUCUUCCACAAUGGACGAAAGCCUGAUGCAGCAACGCCGCGUGAGUGAAGAAGGGUUUCGGCUUGUAAAGCUCUUUUGGUAGGGAAGAAAGAUAGAGGUAGUAACUGGCCUUUAUUUGACGGUAACUACUUAGAAAGUCACGGCUAACUACGUGCCAGCAGCCGCGGUAACACGUAGGUGGCAAGCGUUGUCCGGAUUUAUUGGGCGUAAAGCGCGUGCAGGCGGUUAAAUAAGUCUGAUGUGAAAGGCUUGGGCUCAACCGGGGAAUUGACUCAGAAACUGGUGGACUUGAGUGCAGGAGAGGAGGGUGGAACUCCAGGUGUAGCGGUGGAAUGCGUAGAUAUAUGGAAGAACACCAGUGGCGAAGGCGGCUCUCUGGACUGCAACUGACGCUGAGGCUCGAAAGCGUGGGUAGCGAACAGGAUUAGAUACCCGUGUAGUC